rnacentral:misc_RNA from 1 species
GAUGAAGAACGUAGCGAAAUGUGAUAACUAGUGUGAAUUGCAGAUUUACGUGAAUCAUCGAGUCUUUGAACGCACAUUGCGCCCCCUGGCAUUCCGGGGGGCAUGCCUGUCCGAGCGUCAUUGCUGCCCUUCAAGCCCGGCUUGUGUGUUGGGUCGUCGUCCCCCCCGGGGGACGGGCCCGAAAGGCAGCGGCGGCACCGCGUCCGGUCCUCGAGCGUAUGGGGCUUUGUCACCCGCUCGAUUAGGGCCGGCCGGGCGCCAGCCGGCGUCUCCAACCUUCUAUUUUACCAGGUUGACCUCGGAUCAGGUAGGGAUACCCGCUGAACUUAAGCAUAUCAAUAAGCGGAGGA